rnacentral:rRNA from 1 species
AUCCUGGCUCAGAUUGAACGCUGGCGGCAGGCCUAACACAUGCAAGUCGAACGGUAACAGGAAGAAGCUUGCUUCUUUGCUGACGAGUGGCGGACGGGUGAGUAAUGUCUGGGAAACUGCCUGAUGGAGGGGGAUAACUACUGGAAACGGUAGCUAAUACCGCAUAACGUCGCAAGACCAAAGAGGGGGACCUUCGGGCCUCUUGCCAUCGGAUGUGCCCAGAUGGGAUUAGCUAGUAGGUGGGGUAACGGCUCACCUAGGCGACGAUCCCUAGCUGGUCUGAGAGGAUGACCAGCCACACUGGAACUGAGACACGGUCCAGACUCCUACGGGAGGCAGCAGAAGGGC